rnacentral:rRNA from 1 species
CCUACGGGUGGCUGCAGUAGGGAAUGUGGCGCAAUGGGCGAAAGCCGGACGCAGCAACGCGGCGGGAUGGAGACGCCCUUGGGGGGGUAAAGAUCGGUAAGGGGGGACGAAACUUGACGGUACCCACAGAGGAAGCACCGGCUAACUCCGUGCCAGCAGCCGCGGUAAUACGGGGGGUGCAAGCGUUGUCCGGAAUCAUUGGGCGUAAAGAGUUCGUAGGCGGCACGUAAAGUCUGGUGUUAAAGGCAGAGGCUCAACUUCUGUACGGCACUGGAUACUUGCGAGCUAGAAUGCGGUAGAGGUAAAGGGAAUUCCUGGUGUAGCGGUGAAAUGCUUAGAUAUCAGGAGGAACAUCGGUGGCGUAAGCGCUUUACUGGGCCGUAAUUGACGCUGAGGAACGAAAGCCAGGGUAGCAAAUGGGAUUAGAUACCCUAGUAGUC